rnacentral:lncRNA from 1 species
GGUGUAAGGAGGAAUGGUAGGACUUGCUGGCCAUUCGAUGGCAGCCCAUUUGUCGUUCUACCCCGAGUGGUAGACGAAAGAUCCUAUAUUGAUUUUACCAGGAUGGUAAAUCAAUGGUCACUAUUGGUCCUGGUCCUAUUUUGUCCUAUGAUCACUAUGGUGUAAGGAGGAAUGGUAGGACUUGCUGGUCAUUCGAUGGCAGCCCAUUUGUCGUUCUACCCCGAGUGGUAGACGAAGGAUCCUAUAUUGAUUUUACCAGGGUGGUAAAUCAAUGGUCACAAUUGGUCCUCAUGUCUUGGUCCUUAUAU